rnacentral:lncRNA from 1 species
AUGCGCCCACCCCAUGGACGACGUCACGGCCGAGCGAAGUGGAGCUGCCGCCCCCUGGGGGGGGGAGGAACCUCUCCCUGCGAGUUACCGGGGCCCCUGCAGCGCGGAGGGGGAGGGGGCCCCGCAGACUCUGCUCUCCCCCCGGACCAAGAAGGCAAAGGCCCCCCCACCCCGGCAGUAACUGGAAUCGGGACCCUUCCCAAAGGCGCCCCCAGCCUUCCUGGUCUGGACCGUUGGGGUCCCCGGGGAAAGGUAGACGUUGAGCCGACCUCGGAGACGCCCCCACUUCUCCUCAGGAGCGGCCGGAGCCUGGGGGGGGGGGGGGCAGCCCCUGGUCUCGCCCUCGGCCGGGGGCUCUGCACUAAACUGGCCCCUCCCCAGGGCCCCUCCCCGCGGCCAAGGCCAGGGCCGCCCCGCCUGGAGGCGGCUUAAGCUGCGGCGCUGACCGUGGUGCUGGUGAACCCUGCCCCAAGUCCGGCCCGAGAGCAGAGAAAGGAAACGUGCUGACGCGGAAAGCCCCGCCCUCCCCCUUCCCCUCUGCCAAGCAGCCAGUUCCGAGAAAAGGGAUCUGGGGGCCCGGCCCCGCCCCGCGCUUCCUCCACGGGCCUGACUGCACGCUCUGCAUGCUCCGGCUCCCACCGGGGGCGGGGCCUGAGGAGGCCUGCGUGCGCCGCAAAGGGAGCCGGCCUGGCCUGCCUCCUGGGGGUCCCCUGCGGCGGGGGGCAGCAGCCCCGGGUGUCUGGCCCCGCCCCCAGCUUGUGCCAGACCGGGGAGGGAGCCCAGAAGCCUGUACAUACUCAUUAAAGUGUACAUACGCAAGGGGCGUCUCCGUCCUUCUCCCGGCUUCCCCAGCGGCCCUCGGGCCCGCGCCCCCGGAAGGGCGCAAAGCCCCUCCCCCGCCUCCGCCGGGGGCUCCCCGUCCAGCCUUCUGGGGCCGCUCUCCCCUCCCCCCGGACAGGGAAGGGGCGGCCGGGUCUGGGGGGGCUCCCCACCGUGGGAGAAGGACCCUGUGGUGAGAGUGGGGCACGUGCCGCAGGGGCUUCUGGGAGAGGUCCCCCACAACCCUGAAGCCGAGGCUCCUGCGGGGAUGAAAACAGCGGCGCCUCGGCCUCCGCCUCGGGGGGCGCUAGAGAGCACGACCCGGGCGGGGGAGGGGUGCCGCUCACCGCCGGCCACUGGGCCUCCAGUCACUCACACGUCAUGUGACCUUGGGGCGGGGCGGGGCAAUGACUGACUGGGGGGAGGAGGAAGCUCCCUCAGGGAAACAGGAAGCAGGGGCUGUGCCGACCAAUCGGAUGUCACGGAGAGUAGGUUCUUCCGGCUGGGGAUUCCGGACGGAUUUUCAGGUGGCGCGGCGCGACCUUCUUCCCAGCAGGCCCCGCUCCUGGGUCCAGUUCGACGGGAAAUCUGCUCCGUGAGCGGAAGGUUCCGGGCCUGCUGGCUGAGCCCGUCCGGAGUGAGGGCAGGUGCCGGCGUCCGCCCGAGGGGGGGGCUCCCUGAUGGGGCCCGCGGGAGGCAGCCUCCGACACCCGCUCACCGGGUAGCCCUGCGCCCGUGGCUUCACCGCCGCCUGCCUCAGUUUCCUCCUCUGUAAAGCGGGGACCGCGGUGCUGACCCCGACCCAGGGCUGACGUCAUCCCCUGGGGAGAGACAGAGAGUGAUAAGGAGAAAUGGGGGGGGCGGGGGGGGAGACAGAACGACGGGGGCCACGGAGGUAGGGAGAGGCUCGGAGACAGGGAGAGCCGGGCCCAUGGCUCUGGCGUCCGCGCUGGUCCUCGCCCGCCGGGCUCGGGCGCCGCGGGCACCAAGCACAUCCUUUGUUCCCGGCUCCAGCCUCCGGGGGUUGGGCCCGCGGCCCCAGGACCAGCUUUCCCGGUGCCAGGAGAGACCGGGGGGGCGGUGCCGUGCACGGAGCUCCGGCCCCGAGUUCAAAUCCGGCUGUGUGACCCUGGGCAAGGCACUUAACCCCGACUGCCCCGGGGGGAAGAGACCGGUGGUCCCGCGCGCCCCCCCCCAGAGGAGGCCCACGAGGAGCUGCCCAACUGCGCCGGCCCGUCCUGGGAGAAGAUCCCUGAUGCUCCCCUCGCACACGCGACUCCCGGGUUCCUGCGGAGAUUGGGGCGUUGGGGUCCCCAGUGCCCCCAAAUCCGCCCAGGCGGCCUCCGGGUGAGGGGAGCCUGUCCCCCGGGCCCCGACCCCAAGGGCCCUACAACCGGGGCUCUAGGCAGAACGCUGCUGGGGCGCGCUGCUGAGCCCAGACAGGAAGGAGGCGGCGUCAGAGGGGCCGGAGGCGCGGGCUCCCCCGAAGGGGGGUCCUCGGGAGCCCUGCGACCGAACCCCCGGAAGCUGGAGCUGGGACGCGUCCGGCAGAGCCCGGGCCACGGCCCUUCCUGUUCUGCCGCCGGCUCCCGCUUGGCCCCGGGUCUCGGGGUUCGCAGGAAGGGGCCGGAAGAACGAAGGGGCCUCAGUGCCCACAGUGCCCACAGUGCCCGGGCCGGGCGAGGGACGCCGGGCGGGCAAGAGCCGGUGUGGAUGCCAGAGCCCCGGCCCAGAGGCAGUAACUGGUCCCUAGACGUGCCGCCUUGGGGGCUGGGAGACCUCCUCCCGCCAUAAAGCUGGCCCGGCCUUCCCCCAGGGCUGGCGCCCCCUGCGUGGAAGCCCCCCCCCCGCCCCCGGUUCCCAGCGGUUGCUCAGCA